GGGACGCGCUGGUGGUAGCAGGUCCUUCAUUCCAGUCUCUUGCAAACAGCAUUUGCUUUCUGCUUUACCCUGAACUGUGGUUUCCAAGCUGGAGUCAUCCCAGGAGGAGAAAUUCUGUUCCAGGUUGAGUUUCAAACCAAGAUACUGGAUUCUCCUAAUUAAGAGCUUGGAGUGCUUAACAGUGAAAAUGGCAUAAUGUGGUUUCACAACUUGAAAGCAUGACAAUUAAAGAACACACAUGGACUUGUGGCACAUGGAAAUGUGUGCACAGAAAAAGGAAAUCUGUAAUUAUUUAAAAGUAGGAAGGCAUUCUUCCUCUCCAAAAUGGGUACAUUCUGCUCAGUGAUCAAGUUUGAAAAUCUCCAAGAAUUAAAGAGACUAUGUCACUGGGGUCCCAUCGUAGCCCUUGGUGUUCUAGUAAUAUGUUCUACAAUGGCCAUGAUUGACUCUGUGUUAUGGUAUUGGCCCUUACAUACAACUGGAGGAAGUGUGAAUUUCAUCAUGGUGAUAAAUUGGACUGUCAUGAUUCUUUAUAAUUACUUCAAUGCAAUGUUUGUUGGUCCUGGAUUUGUCCCUCUGGGAUGGAAACCGGAAAAUUCUCAGGAUACCAUGUAUCUCCAGUAUUGUAAAGUCUGCCAAGCAUACAAGGCACCACGUUCUCAUCACUGUAGAAAAUGUAACAGAUGUGUGAUGAAGAUGGAACAUCACUGUCCUUGGAUCAACAACUGUUGUGGUUACCAAAAUCAUGCUUCAUUCUCCUUUUAGUACCGCUGGGUUGUGUCCAUGCUGCUUUCAUUUUUGUUAUGACUGUGUACACACAGCUUUAUAAUCGACUCUCCUUUGGGUGGAGCACAGUGAAGAUUGAACAUGAGUACAGCCCGGAGAGACCCUGUUCCAAUCAUUCCAUUUGGAUUAGCUGCAUUUGCUGCCACCUUGUUCGC